UGGACAUACCUUGCUGAAAACACCGGUUCUCGUCCAAUCACCGAAGUUAAGCCUCAUCGGGCGCGGUCAGUACUUGGAAGGGGACACCUGGGAACACCGAGUGCCGUAG